AUGGGCUCUUCCAACUCGAGUUUGACCUACAGCUGCCUGGAAGGAGAUGGCAGCCCAGCAGUGUCCGUGCUCUCCCGACAGGUGCGAUGCUUCAGUAUAUCUGUGGUCAGGCCAUUUACCAAGCUUGUGAAGCCACCUGCUCAGGUAUAUGGUAUCAAAGGUUGCUAUGCCACUGCUCUAUAUUCUGGUACACUUAAACAGAAUAAACUGGAACAAGCAGAAAAGGAAUUGUUGAGAGUAGCACAAAUCUUGCGAGUAGCACAAAUCUUGAAGGAACCCAAAAUGGCUGCUUCAAUUAUGAAUCCCUAUGUAAAGCAUUCCAUUAAAGUGAAAAGCCUAAAUGACAUGAGAGCAAAAGAGAGGUUUUAUCCCCUCACAUCCAACCUGAUCAAUUUGCUUGCUGAAAAUGGUCACUUGAACAAUACCCCUGGAGUCAUUUCCGCCUUUUUUACCAUGAUGAGUGUGCACCGUGGGGAAGUACCUUGCUCAGUUACCAUCGCAUUUCCUUCAGAUGUAGCCACUCUUUCUUAAUUAAACGGUGCUUAAGAGCUUCCUAAAUAAAAAUAAGAUACUGAAACUGGAAGUUAAGAUUGAUCCAUCAAUUGUGGGAGGAAUGACUGUCCGUAUUGGAGAGAAAUAUGUUGAUUAUGUCUGCAAAAACCAAGAUUCAGAAGCUAAGCAGGGUUAUGCAACAGGUUUUCCUAAAGUACUGA